AAACUUGCACGGCAGGAGAGAUUCCUUGAUCAAGAAGGUGGUUUUCCCAGGGUGAGGCUUAUCUACUUCCCUCCAGGUGUGCUGACCUCUGCGAUUUCCCCAAACAAGAGACAUUUGGGCACAUCAUCUGAGGUAGUGGGGGACUGCAAUUGUAUUCUCCCCUU
ensembl:snRNA U1 U1 spliceosomal RNA